GACGAACGCUGGCGGCGUGCUUAACACAUGCAAGUCGAACGGAAAGGCCCUGCUUUUGUGGGGUGCUCGAGUGGCGAACGGGUGGGUAACACGUGAGUAACCUGCCCUUGACUUUGGGAUAACUUCAGGAAACUGGGGCUAAUACCGGAUAGGAGCUCCUGCUGCAUGGUGGGGGUUGGAAAGUUUCGGCGGUUGGGGAUGGACUCGCGGCUUAUCAGCUUGUUGGUGGGGUAGUGGCUUACCAAGGCUUUGACGGGUAGCCGGCCUGAGAGGGUGACCGGCCACAUUGGGACUGAGAUACGGCCCAGACUCCUACGGGAGGCAGCAGUGGGGAAUAUUGCACAAUGGGCGGAAGCCUGAUGCAGCAACGCCGCGUGCGGGAUGACGGCCUUCGGGUUGUAAACCGCUUUCGCCUGUGACGAAGCGUGAGUGGCGGUAAUGGGUAAAGAAGCACCGGCUAACUACGUG
rnacentral:rRNA from 1 species